ACGAGAACUUGCAGUGUCAUUACACCGUAUGAGCAGAGGGAAGGGAAGUAGAAACAGGUUAUUAUGAGGACGUUAUUGGUGGCCCUCUCCUAUCUAGUUAGCUAGCUCCCUCUCUCUCUCUCUCUCUCUCUCUCUCUGGGUACUGCUGGCACAGCAAAUCUUUCAUAUAGGGAUCUGUAGAACAGAAGCUAAACUACAAGCGAAUAAUUUAAAGGGAAGGAGAUCAACUUUUUUUGGUUGAUUUGUCGGGGACCAGCAACGGAAUACCAAUUUCCUAUGUUUGGUGGGCCCAUCACCUUUCAGGAAAAAAAAAUAAAAAUGGAGCUACUAGAUAUUUUGCAAGAGAUAUAUAUCCAACUUUCCUCUCACUUCCUAUUUAUUAAUUGAAAACUGCUGAGCACCACUGCUCAUGAAUAAGCUUUAGCUUUUUAUUUAAAGAGUGAUGGGAUUUCACCUUCAUUAUUAUUAUUUUUAUUAUUUAUCUUCACACGUUAUGGACCCAUC
rnacentral:lncRNA from 1 species